rnacentral:rRNA from 1 species
UACGGGGGGGGGUAAGCGUUGUUCGGAAUUACUGGGCGUAAAGGGCGCGUAGGCGGCCUGCUAAGUCGAACGUGAAAGCCCUGGGCUCAACUCAGGAACUGCAUUGGAAACUGACGGACUGGAGUACCGGAGAGGGAAGCGGAAUUCCUGGUGUAGCGGUGAAAUGCGUAGAUACCAGGAGGAACACCGGUGGCGAAGGCGGUUUCCUGGCCGAGUACUGACGCUGAGGCACGAAAGCGUGGGGAGCGAACGGG